rnacentral:ncRNA from 1 species
UUUCUUCGGGGUAGGGUGAAAUUCCCAAUCGGCGGUAAAAAAGUCCGCAACUCCUUUAUUAAAAAAGGACUGAUUUUGGUGUAAUUCCAAAACCGACAGUUAAAGUCUGGAUGGAAGAAGAA